rnacentral:rRNA from 1 species
GACGGAGGGUGCUAGCGUUGUUCGGAAUUACUGGGCGUAAAGGGCGCGUAGGCGGCCGUCUAAGUCGGGUGUGAAAGCCCGGGGCUCAACCCCGGAACGGCAUCCGAGACUGGACGGCUGGAGACCGGGAGAGGAGGGUGGAAUACCCAUUGUAGAGGUGAAAAUCGUAGAUAUUGGGUGGAACACCGGUGGCGAAAGCGGCUCUCUGGCCCGGUUCUGACGCUGGGGCGCGACAGCGUGGGUAGCAAACACG